rnacentral:rRNA from 1 species
UACGUAGGGGGCUAGCGUUGUCCGGAAUCAUUGGGCGUAAAGAGCGUGUAGGCGGCCCGGUAAGUCCGCUGUGAAAGUCGGGGGCUCAACCCUCGAAUGCCGGUGGAUACUGUCGGGCUAGAGUGCGGAAGAGGCGAGUGGAAUUCCUGGUGUAGCGGUGAAAUGCGCAGAUAUCAGGAGGAACACCGAUUGCGAAGGCAGCGCGCUGGGACGUUACUGACGCUGAGACGCGAAAGCGUGGGGAGCAAACAGG